rnacentral:rRNA from 1 species
AACGAACGCUGGCGGCAUGCCUAAUACAUGCAAGUCGAACGAGAUCUUCGGACCUAGUGGCGCACGGGUGCGUAACGCGUGGGAAUCUGCCCUUGGGUUCGGAAUAACUUCUGGAAACGGAAGCUAAUACCGGAUGAUGACGUAAGUCCAAAGAUUUAUCGCCCAAGGAUGAGCCCGCGUAGGAUUAGCUAGUUGGUGGGGUAAAGGCCCACCAAGGCGACGAUCCUUAGCUGGUCUGAGAGGAUGAUCAGCCACACUGGGACUGAGACACGGCCCAGACUCCUACGGGAGGCAGCAGUAGGGAAUAUUGGACAAUGGGCGAAAGCCUGAUCCAGCAAUGCCGCGUGAGUGAUGAAGGCCUUAGGGUUGUAAAGCUCUUUUACCCGGGAUGAUAAUGACAGUACCGGGAGAAUAAGCUCCGGCUAACUCCGUG